GGGGGUAUAGCUCGGGGUAGAGCAUUUGAUUGCAGAUCAAGAAUUACAUGUGCUCCCCCAUUGCCCCUC
rfam:Papio anubis isolate 1X1155 chromosome 17, whole genome shotgun sequence.